rnacentral:pre_miRNA from 1 species
CUAACAGAGUUUAUUGGCAUUCUGUCCACCUCCACUUUCUUCUCUUCUCUACGUCCAGUAUUCAUCCAUGCCGUUGGAGGUGGGCAUACUGCCAACUCAGUUCUGUUAG